CAGCAGCCGCGGUAAUACGUAGGUGGCAAGCGUUGUCCGGAAUUAUUGGGCGUAAAGCGCGCGCAGGCGGAUAGGUCAGUCUGUCUUAAAAGUUCGGGGCUUAACCCCGUGAUGGGAUGGAAACUGCCAAUCUAGAGUAUCGGAGAGGAAAGUGGAAUUCCUAGUGUAGCGGUGAAAUGCGUAGAUAUUAGAAAGAACACCAGAGGCGAAGGCGACUUUCUGGACGAAAACUGACGCUGAGGCGCGAAAGCCAGGGGAGCGAACGGGAUUAGAGACCCCAGUAGUCCCUGUCUCUUAUACA
rnacentral:rRNA from 1 species